rnacentral:rRNA from 1 species
GAUCCUGGCUCAGAUUGAACGCUGGCGGCAGUGCCUUACACAUGCAAGGUCGAACGGUAACGCGGGGCAACCUGGCGACGAGUGGCGAACGGGUGAGUAAUAUAUCGGAACGUGCCCAGUAGUGGGGGAUAGCCCGGCGAAAGCCGGAUUAAUACCGCAUACGACCUACGGGUGAAAGCGGGGGAUCGCAAGACCUCGCGCUAUUGGAGCGGCCGAUAUCAGAUUAGGUAGUUGGUGGGGUAAAAGCCUACCAAGCCAACGAUCUGUAGCUGGUCUGAGAGGACGACCAGCCACACUGGGACUGAGACACGGCCCAGACUCCUACGGGAGGCAGCAGUGGGGAAUUUUGGACAAUGGGCGAAAGCCUGAUCCAGCAAUGCCGCGUGAGUGAUGAAGGCCUUAGGGUUGUAAAGCUCUUUUACCCGGGAUGAUAAUGACAGUACCGGGAGAAUAAGCUCCGGCUAACUCCGUG